AACAGUGAGAGGAAGGUGCAUUGGUUAGCAUGGGAGAAAGUGUGUACUGGUAAGCAUGAAGGGGGACUCGGAUUCAGAGACCCGGCUGCGUUCAACCAUGCAUUGCUAGCUAAACAGGAAUGGAGAGUGCUACAGAACCCAGACUCAUUAUGUGCUAGAGUGUUGAAGGCAAGAUAUUUCAAGGAUGGGACGAUCUUGAAGACAACGUGCCCCUCGGGAGCCUCAUAUACUUUCCAUAGUAUACUAUAUGGACGUGAUCUAUUGAGAUAUGGCACUAUAUGGUGCAUUGGAGAUGGAUCCAAGAUCAACAUCAACCAUGAUAAUUAG
rnacentral:rRNA from 1 species